GUUUACGUAGUGUCGUGGUUAUCACGUUCACCUAACACGCAAAAGGUCCCCGGUUCAAAACCGUGCGUGAACA